rnacentral:lncRNA from 1 species
UUUUUUUUUUUUUUUUUUUUUUUUUUUUGCUACUAACAGACUGUUUUAAUUACCUUAGCUUCAUAGUAUAUUUUAAUAGCCAGUAGGGGUUAAUAGCCCUCUAUUUCCUGACAGUUCUCAGAGGUUAAUUUUCCAUGUGCAUUUUUAGAAUUGUCAAAUGUCAAAAAUACUCUUACUGGCAUUUUUAGUGAGAUCACAUUCAAUUUAUAAAGUAAUUUAGGGGGAAAAUUACAUCUUUACAACGUGUUUUCCAUCUCUGAACAGUUUGUCCUUCUACUAAUUUGUCAUCUUACAUCUUAUUGUAGGAUUUUUGAUAUCUUUUCCUUACGAAUUCUGUAAACUUUGUAAUUUCUCAAAAUGGUGUUUUCUUUUGCUCUUAUAUGUAGUACUAAUCCUUAUACUAAAAUGGCUUUUAUUUUUAUACGAAAAGCUGUUCAUUGUAAUCUAGUUUAGUAAUCAUCAAGCUUAAUUGUCUUUUAAUGUUUUUAUUCAUUUUCACUUGAUUCUCUUUGGCUUUCUAAAUUCGUACAUGUAUCAUCUGUAAAAAUAAUAAUUUUGCCUCUACUGUUCCGACCUUAAGUAUUCAUGACUAUAUCACUGUGCUUGGGCUGCUACACAAAAUACAAUAGAUGAGGGAACUGAAAAAAAAACAGAAAUGUAUUCCUCACAGUCCUGGAGGCUGGGAAGUCCCAGGUGAGAAGCAGAGGGGAGCAAAAGCAUGAUCUCUCUAGCACCCCUUUGUGUAAGGACUCAUCCUAUAAUCAUAUUCUACUGAUAGGACCUUAUUUUACCUUACUCCAAAUACAGCUUCAUUGGGGGGGGUGGGGGUUGGGGUUUCAUAUGAUUUUUGGGGGAAGGUUACAUUCUGUCCAUAAUAAUGACUUUUUCUUUCUGGCAUUGGCUGGUGCAGGUUGGAAAGUAUACAAUUAUAGAGUCUUGGUAGUGGCCAUUCUUGUCUUAAUGAGCAUGCUGCCUAUGUGUCACCAUUAAGCCUGAUUCUGGCUUUUAAGAUACAUUUGUAUCAGUUUUUUUUUUUUUUUUUUUUUUUUCCCAUAUGAAGACGUGUUUAUAGGAGGGGAGCGAUAAAUUAGGAGUUUGGGAUUAAUAGGUACAAACUACUAUAUAUAAAAUAAAAAACAAGGACUUAGUGGUAUAGCAUCAGAAAAUUUAUGCCUCAGUUUUGGUUAGACACCAGAGGAGCUGAGAAAUGUGCCUGUGAGUUCUAUGAGAAGGUGUGUGUGUGGUGGGGGUGGGCUGUGGAAAUCAGCUGGCACUCUCUGGGAAUCCAUAGAAAAUCUUGGUGAUAUUUAGGGUGAAAACAACCAAGAACAAAAUACAAAAACGUUUGUAAAUGUAUCUGUAUUGGGUGUGGUCUGAAAUCAUGAACCUUGACUCACACAGGUGUCCUGUAUCAAAAUGAGAGAAGGAUAAAUGCUGUCAGCGCUCCUUCUGCUCCCCUCUUCCUAGUUGAUUUGGUAGGCCCUCUCCAUACCUUAACCUCCUGGCCCUUCUCCUUAGAGCCCAGGACCCAUCUGGCACCAUUCACUGGCUGGCUACCAGGACUGUCACUUCUCCUUCCCACCAAAGCUUACCCUUGGUGUGACAGCUCCUUCCUAAGGAACUAUUAAGCCAAUCCCAACUCUAAGCCCAUCCCAGUGCAAAUUGGUCAUGGUUUGUCUCUGUGUCUUCCAAGGGUGACCUAUUUGUAUUUUGUAGGGUGACGUGAUAAUCGGUAAACCCAAAGAGCAGGUGGUAACCUACCAGGUGUGCUUGCUAGGCUUUCUGGAGCUACGCUCCUCACAUCCGACUGUGAGUAAGUAGGGUCAGUCUUGUAUCUAGGAAUCAAGCCAUGGGACCGUCUGAUUCAGCCUGACCAAUCUUCAUAAACUCUUUUUUUCAGAGUCCUCCUCCCAUAGAUUUCUAAAAUUAAAAUUUUAAAAAUAGCAUUUUUUUGUGGUUUGAUUUUUUUUUUUUUUUUUUUGUCUCAGGCAGGACAGUGGGACUAAACUGGAUCGUUUUGCUGCUUUUUGGAUUUUCCUUUGGCUCUCUGGCUCUCUCGUGGCUAGUUCUGAGCAGUUGUGGUAGACUUUGUAACAGGGCAGAAGACUAUUUAAUAACACGUGUCUUGGCUUAACUCUCGUGCAGUCACAAAUGUUGCCAAUAAAUUCAUUCUAAAUUCUACAUUAAUUCCAAAAUCAACCCAUGAUAAAAAUGUACUCCUAAUUACAUACAUUGAAGAACAUCGUGCAUAAGACAACUCUAUGAAUGUGGCUUCAACCCCAGAAGUCCGUAUGUACUCCCUUCUAAAUUAUAUAUCUAUGUCUCUGUAUCUGAAAUGUGAAUACAUCCUUCUGAUAUGUGGACAGAACUCCUUGAUCAGUUUUUGGCUGAAAAAAUAAAAAGGAUUUUUUUUAAGGGUCCAAUUUACACGUUUCUGUUGUGAUACUAACAGAUAAGGGGACUGCAAAUAGAAUGGAAGUUGGUAGGAUUUAGGGUUCUGAAAGGAGGUUUCUUGUGUGAAAAACAGCUUUUCUUGACAAGCUGCUUGUCAGGGUUUUCAGCAGCCUCUCUUUUCAUUUAUUUAUUUGGUUUGAGGGAGUUAGGAAGGUGUUUGGUGUAUUUUGUGCUGGCAGCUCACACGUCAAAAAACACAAGACUAAAAAUAUUCCCCAAAUAUGAAUAUACAGUAGUUUCUUCUUUUUUUUUCUUUUCUCCCAGAGAGCCAAUGUUAAAACCCCUGACCUCUGGUGAAACACCCCUGAGGCAAACCCCUGUGUUUCUGCUCUUAGUUUCCCAUCCCUGGCCCUACAGGGGCUGAUUUUUAUGAAGAUUUUGGGGUUCCCUUUUCCGACCAGCAACUCCCCUGUGGUUUGAAUGAUUCUUCAUGUCUUCUGUCUACCAUUGCAGCAUAGCUUUCCUGGUUUCAUUGCUCUUCUAUCGUUCAGAGAGAAACUGAGGCACAUUAAACUCAAGAGUUGACUUGAGUAAGAAUUGAUUCAAAUCUGGCAGUGUCAACCCAGAAUCGGUCAGGAGGGCCUGUCCAUCGGAGCUAGGGCAUGAGCAUGUACUGGAGCAAAAAAGGACAUUACCUGAUUGGCUAGAGCCGAGUUUGCUCUUGGAGAUUGGUUGUCCUGAGCAUUUUGAUUUUGUAACCUUGAGGCGUUUACAGGCUCAGCUUUUGGGCAGCCAGGGCAUGAGAGCCACCUUGGACUGAUGGCCUCCUUGUUGAAUUAAUUGAACACUAUCAAGGCAUUGUCUGGGGGUUUUGACAAAGGAUCAUUAAAGGAGUGAGGGAGAGCUCACAUCCAGAUGGGAACAUCAUAGAAUAUAGAAUAUUGGUUGAAGGAGAUGACAUUCAAACUAGAUCUUGAUCAUGAGUAGAAUUUUGACUGGAGUAUCCGUGAGGCACACCUCUUUGUGCUGGUCUGCAAAAUACCCCUACCAGACAACAAAAUUCCUAACUUACUUGAAGAGCACGUGUAACAUAACACAGGCCUUGAAGGAAUCACGGUAGUGCUAAACAUUUUGGGGACUGUGCUUGGCCUUCCGCCUAAAGCUGAAGUGAGUAAAUUCCGAACCAACUUGUCAUCCUCUGCCUUUGCCUUUUUGGAAAGGGAGCAGAUCCUGGUAAAACGAGACAAUCGACAUGUUGAGAAAUUUUCUGUGUCGAAAAAGUAAGUUCGACAUUGUACAUUCAGUGUGCUGUGAAUGUAUGUGCAUACCGGUGGUUACAUUUAUAGAAGUAUAGCUGAGAAUGUGCAAAUGAGUCUGCGAAGUGCCAAAUGGUGUCCUCCAGCAUGGAGCAGAACCACCCUGAGAUGGAAGGAACUUUCAGUCAGGUAACAAUGCCUUUCAGUCCAAUUUUGUUAAAGAGAACCUGGGGGAAAAGGCUAGAAUUUGGGGAAAACGAAAAAUAUUGGUAGAGAAUGUUGUGUUUUCUUGUGGAUUGCUUUUUUUUGGGGGGGGGGGUCCUUUUUCCCAUCAAGUCUUAGGCUCCACCUCUGCUCCCUCAGCCCUGGCGCCAGCCACCAAGGCAGGACAGCAGGUGAGUGAUGCCCUGUGGUUAAGUUUCGUUAAGAGAUGGGUGAGCCCAGUCUUCACCUGAAGGUCUCCCUGCAGAAUCUGGCUCUCAGCUCUUAGAAAGGGAUCUGCUUCCCUGGGUGAGAAGGUAGUCCCAUAAAGCCACAGGGUUACUGUCAGGGUGCUAGCUUAGGUGGCUUCUAGCUUGACUCUAUCACAUUUUCUCACCUGCAAAUAAAACGCUUUCUAUUAAUACAUUGACCUGUUAAGAUCCUCUUCUUUUUCCCCAGUCUGACUUCGUGAAUUGGAAUAUUUUGUGUCCUUCUUGGUUGGUAUGUUUUUGUUUUCCAAGAAAGUAAAUAAGACUUGGGUUGUUCAGCAAAUGGACUAAUUCUUCUAAUCUGUUAAGUUAAAACAAGUGUUACCCAAACGAGGCUCCACAGAACACUGGUGAUGGGAGAAGAAAGUAUUAGAAUGGUUCUGUGGGAGUUCCUGUCGUGGCGCAGUGGUUAACGAAUCUGACGAGGAAUCAUGAGGUUGCGGGUUCGGUCCCUGCCCUUGCUCAGUGGGUUAACAAUCCGGCGUUGCCGUGAGCUGUGGUGUAGGUUGCAGACACGGCUCGGAUCCAGCGUUGCUGUGGCUCUGGCGUAGGCCGGCGGCUACAGCUCCAAUUCGACCCCUAGCCUGGGAACCUCCAUAUGCCGCGGGAGCGGCCC